GUAGGUGAACCUGCGGAAGGAUCAUUAUUGAAUAAACUUGGUUGGGUUGUUGCUGGCUCUCAGGAGCAUGUGCACGCUCACUCCAUUUUUACCCACCUGUGCACACACUGUAGGCCUGAAUGAAACCUUUUCGGGGAAACUCGGUUUGAGAACUGCUGUCAGUAUCAGCUGUCCUUGCAUUUCAGGUCUAUGUUUUAAACAUAUACUCCAUGACAAGUAACAGAAUGUUAAUUUAUUGGCCUUUUGGUGCCUUUGAAACUUAAUACAACUUUCAACAACGGAUCUCUUGGCUCUC
rnacentral:misc_RNA from 1 species